CUGUGCUGAGCUGUGCUGAGCUGUGCGGGGCCGUGCUGAGCCGUGCGGGGCCGUGCUGAGCCGUGCUGAGCUGUGCGGAGCCGUGCUGAGCUGUGCGAGGCCCCGCAGUGGCACCUGCUGUAGGGGCAGGGCAGGCGAGCUCUACCCGCCAUUUGCCAGCGUUUCGGGAGUCUUUAGCGCACUCGCCCCACCACCCUCUGGUGGGAUUUCAGGAUUUCGGCCGGGUUGUGAACCCUUCCAGCGGGAGUUCUGCCUGCCUGAGCACCUGGCCCGUUAAGCAAAGGGACGCAUUUCUGCGGAAACACCUUCCCAGAGGCUCAGCAGACGCUGUGCAGCACUCACUGGGGUGGUCUGCGUGGAGCUCUCAUUCAGAACUGUUUAAACCAGCAGACAUCCAGGCAAGCAGACCAAGACUGGGAAUGCUAAAUGUUGCACACGCAAAACGAUGUCAGCAAAGUGUUUGUUUGCCCUCAAACCUAGGGAACAGCCUACUAACACGGGUGAUGGAUGAUGAAGGAUGGGGUGCAGGAACUGGAGCUUGCCAGAAGUCUCUGGCUGAUGAGCUCUUUGCCUCUUGGGUGCUGCAGGGAAUGGCCUCCCUUCUUCCCCACUUCAUGCAAGGGAAGGUGGAAUGCUGGUGGAACUCAUACAGGAAAGAUAUGAAUGGCUGGUUUUGAAGGGGAAAUACAAAAGAACUUAUUGAUAGCACAAGGAAAGGCACACACAUAGAGGGUGUGCAAGAAGUGUUUAAAAAUAUGUUCAACAACCGGUAUUCGGACGUGAAGAAGAAAUUCUGCAGUAAGCACAGCUACUCCACACCACUGUGCUCAUGUCCACGCUAAACAGCUGCAGACAGAACAUAAAGGCAAUUUUUCCUCUUGCUCUGACACUGGGACAGAAAGAACAACCGUGCGGGUGUCCAGCAAGGAUGCUGCUGCUUUUACCCCGCCCGGCCGGAGAUCCACCGCCCCCCAGCAGCGCUCGGCUUUCCGCGGGCUCGCAGCGGCAUCCAACAGCAGAGGGAGCUCCGCGAGAGGAAGAGCAGCGGGAGCAGCCCCGGAGGAGGGAGCCGGGCAGGGGGGACAGAGAGAACUGCAG